CUUGAAAUUAAAAAUAAGCAAUGUCAUCUUAACAACUAGAAAAGAAAAAAAAUUAAAAUUAAGGAUAAUAUAUCCUUGAUUAUUUUGUGCAGAAUUGCACGGAUGGCAAACAUAGCCAAACUUGAGUUCAUCGCCCUUGACAUCUCGGGCAAGAAUUACAUGUCAUGGACUCUUGGUGCUGAUAACAUGUUAUAAACUAGAGAGAAGCGAG
rnacentral:lncRNA from 1 species